rnacentral:rRNA from 1 species
CAGUCGAACGGACUUUUCAUGAAGCCUAGCGAUUGAAAAGUUAGUGGCGGACGGGCGAUUAACGCGUGGGUAACCUGCCUUGUACUGGGGGACAACAGUUGGAAACGACUGCUAAUACCGCAUAAGCGCACAGCUUCGCAUGAAGCGGUGUGAAAAACUCCGGUGGUACAAGAUGGACCCGCGUCUGAUUAGCUGGUUGGUGAGGUAACGGCCCACCAAGGCGACGAUCAGUAGCCGGCCUGAGAGGGUGAACGGCCACAUUGGGACUGAGACACGGCCCAAACUCCUACGGGAGGCAGCAGUGGGGAAUAUUGCACAAUGGGGGAAACCCUGAUGCAGCAACGCCGCGUGAGUGAAGAAGUAUUUCGGUAUGUAAAGCUCUAUCAGCAGGAAAGAAAAUGACGGUACCUGACUAAGAAGCCCCGGCUAAUUACGUGCCAGCAGCCGCGGUAAUACGUAGGGGGUAAGCGUUAUCCGGAUUUACUGGGUGUAAAGGGAGCGUAGACGGUUUUGCAAGUCUGAAGUGAAAGCCCGGGGCUUAACCCCGGGACUGCUUUGGAAACUGUAGAACUAGAGUGCAGGAGAGGUAAGUGGAAUUCCUAGUGUAGCGGUGAAAUGCGUAGAUAUUAGGAGGAACACCAGUGGCGAAGGCGGCUUACUGGACUGUAACUGACGUUGAGGCUCGAAAGCG